UACACAUUCAUUACUGAAAAAUCCUUGAUAAUUUUCUUCCUUCACUUUGUUUUUAUACAUUCAGUACAUUUUACUUUUUUGAUAAAGGAUGUAUAUUUUGUCGACAGUCUGGACAGAGAAACAGUAGUAAAGGGAACCGGCAAACUUGGCGGACGUGGCAGGGAUGAUGGCCGACUUCUAAUUUCAUUUUCUUAUGGUCCGGAUUUACCAUUUUGGGUGAUCGAUACAGACUACGUGACCUACGCUGCUGUGUGGGGCUGUAACGAUUAUUGCUCCAUCAACUCCCAGUAUGCGUGGAUCCUAACUCGAGACGUUUGCCCGGACUCGGACGCCAUCCGAAAAGCCAUGCUGGCAUUCCGGAUUAAUGGGAUUGUGACUCGACCCCUGAUGCGGACGGGCGAUAACGUCUGCUUCCCCGAGGACACCGAGGAGGACGACUACGAUUGGUGAAGGCGAAGGUGGAGAUGACGACGACGAUGAUGAUGAUGACGAUGACACCGGUGACGCAUGGGACAUGGCGUCCGGGCACAUCCUCCGAUCACCCUCGCGAUACCGAAUUUUUUCUCAUCGCCGGGGUUUCGAGACGUGUGUUUUUCAACCCUUGUGACGCUGUUUUUUUAUUCGGAAUUUCGGGGUGUAUCGUGGUUUAGACGGAGGGUGGAGACUGUGGAUUGAAGAGUGAUGGGUGUUCCUAGAAUCAAAAUGUCGACGACAGAAAAAAAAGAAAAAAAAGCCUUUCCGCUCGCGCCCACCUCGGUUGACAAAAUUCAGAUUUUUUUUCUUUAUACAAAUUUUAUUUAAAUAAAACGUAAGUACUACAAUAAUAGGUAUGGUAUCAAUCUGCGUGAUUAUUUAAAUUAAAUUAAAUUGAUUAAAAAAUAAGUUAAAAAAUCAAAAUGUUGACACAAAAAAAAACAAAAACAAAAAAACGCAUUUCCGCUCGCGCCCACCUCGGUUGACAAAAUUCAGUUUUGAGCGUUCACCACGCUAGUAGUGGACGCUCUUUCCGGCCGUUUUGCAGCGUGUAUGUUACUAAUGGAUCCAUUGGUAAUAGCCUGCACUGCUUUAUGGGAAUCGGCGCCAUUUUUCGUGGCGGGAAGCAUUUCCUAGUUUCUCAAUUGUAUUUAUGUACCAUUUCUACCUUUUUUCUCCUAUUUUGUUCAUUUUAUGUAAUGCAAGUAGGCUUUUCUUUGAGAAUUUAUUGUCUCUACGUUUUAAAACACUGCAACGUACUUUUAUUUAAUGACUCUUUCGAGCAUCGUUCAAAUUUUUAGUCGUCGGAUAUCUGAAAAAAUUGUUGGGUACCAAGUACCCCUUUAUAACAUGACCCCUAUAUUUUACUCUAUGAUGACAAGACAUUCCUUAUAUAUGUAUGUUUCCUAGGUUACGCUCCACGUCUAGCUCAACAGCGUCUUGUAGCUGCGCUCUCUUCCGUCCAUGCAGAACACCUUUUACAUUUUAACAUCGGAUUUUUUUUCCCCCGCUAGAUCGAACCACUGUAUAUUUGAAUUACAAUGCGUUGUUGGUGAUCAUAAGAGAAUUUGUGAAUUUGAAGUGUAAUACUCUCUUUUUCCCGUCGCCAAUCGCCGACGGGACGGUGUUUGACGCUCUGCAUUAAGUAUUCCCUCAGUCUUAUAAGCGCUAACAUUCAUUUUUUAAUAAAUUGACGAGGUGUUACGGUGAACGCUCUCCAACGUCGUAACGUUGGAACCGACAACUUGUUUUUUUCUAUAAACAAAUUUUUUUAAAUAAAAUGUAACUACUACCAGAAAAGGUAUACUAUCAAUCUAUAUAUUAUUUAAAUUAAAUUAAAUUGAUUAAAAAUAAAAAGUAACCUUGCAUUAUGAUACAAUUACGUUUGAAAUUAUAAUCAAGAUUGCUGACACAAAUUGAAACCAGGACUAAAGUGCUGACUCGAUUGGUCAUUUGCUGAUUUGAUGCAAUCGCCAAGGAGAAACCAUUGGAUUGUUUUUGUUCAUAAAUAUAAAUAAGAAUUCUCUCAGAAAUAAGUGACAUUGCGCACCACUGAAAAAUGUCAAAUUAACGGGUGAUAAAUUACAUCGUUUGGAGAGAAGUCUUCACUUCGAGCCAUGGCUGGAUCAUUAGAUCCACUGAUUAAAUUAAAUGCCUGCAAAAUAUUCGCCAGACCGGUUAGAUUGCUGAUGACUUAUGACUUAUGGCUACUUAAAUACUCAAAAUCAGAUUAGCUCUCUAUAUUCCGUUCAGCGUGGCGUUCCUUAUUUAGAAUUUUUUUCCUACCAACGCCUAUGGGAAAAUAAGAUUACCCCGGGUUUUUUUGUUUCAUUUACUUUUCCCUCUCAUUUAAUUGCGUCUCGAUAAUUGGACGUACUACUGCCAAACGGAACUAUGUGCAUAAUGAUGUGAGCCCUGUUAUUCAUGUAUUCUUAAGGGUCUCAGGGCUCAUGUCUCAAUGCACAUAGUUCCAUUUGGCAGAACUACGUCCAAUUAAUGCUAAGCAAGAAUCAAGAGUAAAAUUGCCUGCCUCCUUCUUUUCAAAUAAAACCCUCCCCAGUUCUAAUGUGUGAAAAAGUAUGUUAAAGAUCUUGCAUUAGUAAAUUCAUCACAAAACUGAGCAGCAUUUAGCCUUUUACGGCUGGAAGAAGAGAAGUAGCGAUUUUUGUUUUGCUUUUUGCUUGUUUGGUUUUAAUUAUUUACCUCUGAAUUUUAUUUAAUAAAUAUAUUUAAUGUCUUUGGGUGUAUAGUCCUCUUUUGUAUUAAACAACGUUUUUAUUAUCUGUUGACUAUCGUAUAUUUGUCAGUUUUGAGGACUGUGACCUGAAAGUGAGUUUCCCCCGUUUCUCAUUGUGAGUUUUUUUUUAUGUUUUUAUUUUUUUUUAUGUAUACAUCGAGAAAAUAAACUUCCCUUCGAUAUGAAGGUAAUACACAGAAAUUUGUUUUGAAGAAAAUGUAUUCUUAUAGUGUGAAAAGUCGGUAUCAGAAAAUCACUUUACCCUUAUUUGCCCCGUGAUGACCGAUUUGUGAUAAUUAUAUUUGGCAAACCACUCGACAUACAGAUCGUCCAGCGAAGUACUGUUGGAGCUGCUAAAAAAGACUGUUUAAGCGCGCGACUCAUACAGCCAGACACUUAAAUAAACCGAGAAGCCAACUUGGUUUUUCGCCAACAUCGUUCGCAUUUUCUGAAAAAUCAGAAAUUAUUCACUUAAGAGAAAAAAUCGUGUUUUAAGAAUAGUUUUCGUCCGAGAUGUGUCCUGUUUGGGGCAGCACUUCCAGUGGCGUGGCAUGCUUUGCGAUGUAUCGAUUGGUCUG
rnacentral:lncRNA from 1 species